UUAAUUUCUCAGCUGCUGGUGCCUCUCUCUUCCCAACAAAAUUAUAUAGUUAGUAUCUAUUUAUUUUGUUCAGAUAUAUAUACACACAUGUAUAUGUAUAUACAUACACACACACAUAUAUGAAAACACACACAUACACAUAUACAUAUUGUCUUCCCUGAUAAACUGUAAGUUGUCAUUUCAUUUCUGUCUUUGGAUUCUCACCACCUAACAUAAGACUUACUUAGCAUACAGUUCAUGCUUAAUAAAUACUUGAUUGAUUGUUUUCAAUGGAUGGAAUUUUGAAACAUCAGAGACUUCACAAGGUGAUAAUUCAGGAGAAUCAUUGAAUUUUUAUGACCUUAGAUGUUAUGAAACUCAUUCCUAUAAGAUGUUCUUUUAGAACUAGACACGAAGCUGAAAGGGACGUUAAAACAUGAGAUGUUAGAUCCAAGGACAAUAGAAUGUCAGGGCCAAAAGGGAGCUUAGGACGUGGAAUAUUACAACAUAGAACAGAAUGUCAAAGACAGAAGGGACUUUAGAACAUGGAAUGUUAUAUCUUAAUUUCUUAUCUUGGCUCAACCAGAUACUCCAGACAAAGAGGAUAUAGAUCUUUAUAUUCAUCCUCGUGGUUUUUGCAUGUUUUUCUAGACCAGAAGUCCUUAAAAUGUGAUUUGGAGACCCAAGGACCUUUGAGGAAUCUUCCUCUGAUGUCGGAUUGGAGCAUGAAGAAGACCACAGCUUCCAAAGGACUGUUCCUUCAGCUUGGGUUGUCUGGGGGAGAGGUUUAAGCUCAAGUCCUUUCGUGUUGGCCAAUCAUUCAGUCACAUCCGACUCUUUGUGACUCUCAUGGACCAAAGCAUCAAUGAUACCAUCUGUACGUCAGAGAGGAAGAAGGCUCAGCAAAGAAGAUGUUGCUGUUGUUCAUCCUUCAUUUCCAGAGGACCAGUGACAUCAUGGUAUAAGGAAACAGAGCAUCGGAGAGGUUAAAACAGCAAGCAAAAGAGCUGAGAUUUGAAUCCAGGUCUUCUAAUUCAAAAUCCAAUGUUCUUCCCAAUGAAUUGUACUGCCUCCUAAUAAAAUGCCUUCUUCUAAUAAGAAAUACUUUGACACAAAAUAGAAUACUGGCCUUAGAGCCAGGAGACCCAGGGUCAAAUUCCACAUCCGAUUCUC